GUGUUAUGUAAAAGAGAAGGUUAGUACACCCUUCACUGAGGAUGGAACCUUUAUCACACAUACCGUGGUUAAGGGUUGCCUCUGACUCUGUGGCAUCUAACCAAGUUUUCUU
rnacentral:ncRNA from 1 species